rnacentral:tRNA from 1 species
UUUAAUAUGGCAGAUAAAGUGUAAUGGAUUUAAACUCCAUAUAUAAAGAUUUAAUCUUUUAAUAAAA